ensembl:lncRNA
AGUAAACAUCAUUUUAUUAACAACUUAGAUUUUUUAUUUUUUUAUUUUUUGCAUAAAAAUGAAAAUGAAGAGAACACACAACAUUAAUCACACAUUAAAAACAAAAAUGUAUUUUCAUUUUUAUUUAUAUAUUUUUAUUUAUUUAUUUUUUAAAAUAUUUUUAAAAUAUGUUUAUACAUUUGUGAGUAUUUUUUUGCUGAGCUUUGUGUAAUGCAUUCUGGGAUUUUUUUUAUUUUUUAUUUGUCAGUGAAUAUUUAAGCUGCUCCACAUUCAUUUUACAGCUCUGUACUUUUACUGUACUCUUACUCAUUUAAGCCAUUUUUAUUUUUUAUGUGAGGACCUUUAGUAAAAAUAUUUGUGAUUUAACUGCAGUGUCACGAGAUGAACUCCUCUUGCUUUUUUAAACCCCUCUUUAAAGUCUGUGUGAAGCCAAGUAUUUCAUCAGUGUCAGGGCAGGGUUAGACAUGAUUCUGGGAGACGUCUUGUUUUGUCCGCCCGUCUGUCCUGGUGUUUCGAUGUCUGCAGUUUGACAUGUCUUUACUGGUCUUGUCAGGGUUUGAGUUUCAUGUUUCUGCUCAUGACAGGAAGGAAGACAUCUGAAGACGCUUCAGCAGAGACACAAUCAACAACACACUGCACGGGCUAUUUUCCCGGCUCUUUCAUUUCUCAGAGAGAAUACGAAAUUCCAGCUAUCAGAAACAGGAGAUCAAACGAGGCCUCGGCUGAAUUCACUGUCAGAAUAAAACCAUUUGUUCCUGAGGCUUUUACUCCGAAGACCUCGUCCCUGGACCGUUUGCUUCUUCAAGUGUGUGUUUUAUGUGGUUUAGGCAGGCGCUCCUCUGGGUCAGUCUGCCACUGUUCAUUUGAGAAAACAUGGCGGUUUACUCCAGAACCUACUCAGUAUGCACAUGAUGUGUGUUCAGUUCUCUUAAAGCAGCCCACUCUCAAACAAAAAAGAAAAAAAAAGAAAAAAAAAAACUAUUUCUAA